CCAAUAGCGUAUAUUAAAGUUGUUGUGGUUAAAAAGCUCGUAGUUGAACCUUGGGCCUGGCUGGCCGGUCCGCCUCACCGCGUGUACUGGUCCGGCCGGGCCUUUCCCUCUGUGGAACCCCAUGCCCUUCACUGGGUGUGGCGGGGAAACAGGACUUUUACUGUGAAAAAAUUAGAGUGCUCCAGGCAGGCCUAUGCUCGAAUACAUUAGCAUGGAAUAAUAGAAUAGGACGUGUGGUUCUAUUUUGUUGGUUUCUAGGACCGCCGUAAUGAUUAAUAGGGACAGUCGGGGGCAUCAGUAUUCAAUUGUCAGAGGUGAAAUUCUUGGAUUUAUUGAAGACUAACUACUGCGAAAGCAUUUGCCAAGGAUGUUUUCAUUAAUCAGGAACGAAAGUUAGGGGAUCGAAGACGAUCAGAUACCGUCGUAGUCUUAACCAUAAACUAUGCCGACUAGGGAUCGGACGGUGUAUUUUUUGACCCGUUCGGCACCUUACG
rnacentral:misc_RNA from 1 species